UAAUAUUAUUGUUUACAUAGUAUUGAGUGUUACGUGUUUAGAGGUAUGUUUGGAUUCAUGUCGUUCAUGUAGAUCGUUAAUUUCCCGCAAAAUGUAAAUCAGAGCAUACGAUGAGAUAUCUCUUAUCGUUGACGUUGUUUGUAAGUAAACCGUUGUUCUCAUAUUUUUUCAAGCGUUUACAGAUAAGAAUCAGAUUCAUCUUGGAGACUGCUCUGAACUGUACAUAAUCAAGAAUACAGAAUGUUUACGCUACUGAGCAGGAGAUCACUGAAAUGUUUUCAACUUACCGCAUUGAACAAUAGAACAUUUACUGAAUCGUUUUCCAAAUCAAGAGGAAAUGUUUAUGCUGUAGAAAAUCUUACGCAACGUGGGCUUCUGAAGGUGCAAGGAGUUGAUGUUCACAACUUUUUGCAAGGACUAAUAACAAAUGAUAUCCGUCAUUUAGAAAGUAUGAAUUCUAUUUACACGUUGUUUCUGAACGUAAAAGGACGUGUUAUGUGUGAUACAAUAAUUUAUAAAACUAGAGAAGAAAAUGUUCUUUUGAUUGAAUGUGAUUCGUCUUACAUUCAUUUACUUCAAAAACAUCUUAAGUUAUACAGAGUACGCAGGAAAAUCGACAUAGAUGUUGCUGACGAUAAAUUGAAAGUAUGGGUUUUUUAUAGACCGAUUGAUGAAUUAGAUUUCUCACAAGGGAAAGUUUCGUAUGCCAAGGAUAUCGUAUCACCUGAAACUCUUGGACUUUACAGUCAUCGUGAUGAUGUGAUCAUAUGUCGCGAUCCAAGAGUAGCGGCACUGGGAUAUCGUGUUGUUGCCCCCGUAGAUGAAAUUGUUCGUGAUACUUUUGCAAAAGAAUUAGGUGGUGGUUCAUUAUAUGAUGGAUUCUUGAAUUACAGAGUUCACAGAUACGUUUUAGGAAUAGGAGAAGGCAUAUGUGACCUACCACCUGGAGUGUCUUUCCCUUUGGAAGCAAAUAGUGAUUAUCUGCAUGGUGUAAGCUUUCACAAAGGUUGCUAUAUAGGACAAGAACUUACAGCACGAACGCACCAUACUGGUGUUGUUAGGAAACGCUUGAUGCCAGUGUUUUUUAGGUCCAAACCAGAAAUAGAAAUACCAUCUGAUGCACCUAUACAGCUACUAGACUCUUCCAAAAAAUCAGUCGGUAAAUUGAGGGCCGUGGAAGGUAAAGUUGGGCUGGGGCUGUUGAGAGUAACAGAAGCCAUAGCAGCAAAAAAUAUUACUGUGAUGGGCAUUAUAGGAGAGACUUGCAAACCACAGUGGUGGCCACAGGAAGCUCCGAAGGAUCGCCUUGCUGUGAGCCGGGAAGCAUGAAUGCUGUUGCAGGAGGAUAAACAAGUAGAUUUCUCCUGUUGUCAUCAAGAAAUAAUAGGAAACUAAUGUAAUAGUGUUUGUUUCCAUGGUAAUACUGACUACAUAGACCCCCGUUACUGGCAAUAACGAUUCACUAUGAUGGCAGAAACAGAUGGACAGAAUAGACAAAAUGAAGGAAAUAUAGUGGAAGCUCCUGUUGCAGAUAAGCCAGAUGAAAGUGGCGUAUUCUGUUGUUAUAUAUGUGGUCUGGAAGAGCACUAUGACUAUUUUGGACAGAAACCACCAUUUUUGAAAAAGAUAUUGUUUACUGAAGACAGUUACAUUAUGAGGAACCCAUUUACACCACCUAGACAAAAUGAUUUUCUGUUAUUAGGUUCAAAGUGUUCCAGUUGUCACCAGCCUGUAUGCCAAUUUCAGAAAUGCAGUAUUUUUUAUUGUAGGAGAUACUGUACUACAUGUGCUAAAGAACACAUUGACAGUUUUCCUGGAGCUAUUCAGAACAAGAUAAAAAUGCAUGAUUUAGCAGUAAAUAGUGUCAUCAAAUGUGCAAAAUAAAAGUAACUGGAAGUUUUCAUGAUUCUGUACUUCAUCAGUGUGAAAGAUAAAAUUUCAGGAUGUGAUCUUGCCAAAAGAUUUCUGACUGUGCUAUUGUAAAUAUUUUAUGAUAUCAAUAAAAGAAAU